CCAGCGUUCCCGCGCUUGGGGAAACUGAGGCCUAGACAGCGUGUUCUGCAUUCCUGGGACUGGAACCUUGGAUCUUCAUUGCUCCCCAGCAUGCGGGCCCCUCACUGGCGUCAGGGCUGAGGACGCCCCCAGAGGGGCCCUGCCCAGUGCAGAGCCACGGUGCCAACGGAUCUCCAACGCUGGGGUCCCGGUUUGGGUGAUCUGCCACACAGGAUUGUCACAGAGCUAUGUUAUCAGCAUCAGGAUGAGAGGAGGAAGAUGUUGAAUCAUCUUUGGAUUCUGAGUGUACCUCUGAGAGUCUUUCACAGAAGUAUGUUGGUCAUAAACCUGGAGCUUCCAGUCAAAGAGGGAAAAAUAGAGUAAAUGGUGAAG